UUAGUAAAAAUGAAUUUUAAUAUUGGAGAGCCAUCUUCUUUUAUAAAUUCGUCUUCUUCUUCAGACUCAUCUGAGUUUGAUGAAUGGCUGAUGAAUGAAAAUGCAUCAACAGAGAGAGAAGAACAAAUUGCAGCAAAUUUGUAUGUCAACAACAACCACCUUCUUCACCAAAUUACUCAAGAAAGCGAUCAUGUAAGUCAUCGAGGCUCUAUUCAUGGUCAUGCAGUUAUACAACGUGAUUGAGAAAAUGCUCAUCUUAAUUUAUUCAAUGAUUAUUUUUCUAAUAAUCAUGUGUAUGGUGAGAGAGAGUUCCAUCGUCGAUUUCGAAUGUCAAAGAAGUUAUUUCUCCACAUUGUUGAUGCUGUUAAACAACAUGACAACUACUUCACCCAACAUCGUCUUGUGACUGAUGAAUACAUCAAAAUAGAAGAGUCUACAGCAAUUGAAUGCAUGAAGAGAUUUUGUCGCGCCAUUGUAGAACUGUUCUCGGAGUGGUAUCUCAGGUCCCAACAUCAGAGGACGUUGCCCGACUUCUCAAUAUCGGCCAACAACGUGGAUUCCCUGGAAUGCUGGGUAGUCUAGAUUGUAUGCAUUGGAAGUGGAAAAAUUGUCCAACUGCAUGGGCAUGACAAUUUGCAGGCCGUAGCGGAUCACCCACAAUAAUUCUUGAAGCUGUGGCAGAUUACGAUCUAUGGAUAUGGCAUGCCUAUUUUGGUAUGCCAGUCAGCAACAACGAUAUUAAUGUUUUGAAUUCAUCUAACUUAUUUUCAAAACUUGCUCAAGGUAUCGCUCCUCCAGCUAAUUACAUUAUUCAGGGACAAGAGUACACCAUGGGUUACUACUUAGCUGAUGGCAUUUAUCCGAAA